rnacentral:rRNA from 1 species
UACAGAGGGGGCAAGCGUUAUUCGGAAUUAUUGGGCGUAAAGGGCGCGUAGGCGGUUUUUUAAGUCAGAUGUGUAAUCCCCGAGCUCAACUUGGGAACUGCAUCUGAGACUGGAAGGCUAGAGUACUGGAGAGGGUGGUGGAAUUCCUCGUGUAGCGGUGAAAUGCUUAGAUAUCUGGAAGAACACCGGUUGCGAAGGCUGUUGCCUGGGCCAUUAUUGACGCUCAUGGACGAAAGCGUGGGGAUCAAACAGGAUUAGAUACCCCAGUAGU